GAUGAAGAACGUAGCGAAAUGCGAUAAGUAAUGUGAAUUGCAGAACUCAGUGAAUCAUCGAAUCUUUGAACGCACAUUGCGCCCCGUGGUAUUCCGCGGGGCAUGCCUGUUCGAGCGUCAUUACACCACUCAAGCCUCGCUUGGUAUUGGGCGACGCGGUACGCCGCGCGCCUCAAAUCUUCCGGCUGGUUCGAAUCGUCCCUCAGCGUUGUGGAAACUAUUCGCUAAAGGUGCGCGUUUCGGUCACGCCGUUAAACAAGCCAAUUUCAUUAAAGGUUGACCUCGGAUCAGGUAGGGAUACCCGCUGAACUUAAGCAUAUCAAUAAGCGGAGGA
rnacentral:misc_RNA from 1 species